rnacentral:rRNA from 1 species
UGAAACAUCUAAGUACCCGGAGGAAGAGAAAUCAAACGAGAUGCCCACAGUAGCGGCGAGCGAAGAGGGCAGAGCCCAAACCGAGAAGCUCCGGCUUUUCGGGGUUGAGGACCGGCAGAAUCGAAGUCAGGCCUAGUCGAAUUACCUGGAAAGGUAAGCGAGAGAGGGUAAAAGCCCCGUAGACGAAAGGCAGAGCAGAGAGGCCGAGAUCCAGAGUACCACGAAGCACGAGGAAUUUUGUGGGAAGCAGGGGGGACCACCCUCCAAGGCUAAAAACUACUUGGCGACCGAUAGCGCAUAGUACCGUGAGGGAAAGGUGAAAAGAACCCCGGGAGGGGAGUGAAAUAGUACCUGAAACCGUAUGUCUACAAGCAGUCGAAGCGAAAGCGACGGCGUGCCUAUUGAAGAAUGAACCAACGAGUUAUCUGCACUAGCGAGGUUAAGUGGAAGACACGGAGCCGCAGCGAAAGCGAGUCUUAAGAGGGCGCUAGUUAGUGUAGGUAGACCCGAAACCGCAGUGAUCUACCCAUGUCCAGGUUGAAGCGCAGGUAAAAUUGCGUGGAGGACCGAACCGGUGAGCGUUGAAAAGCUUUCGGAUGAGAUGUGGGUAGGGGUGAAAUUCCAAUCGAACGCGGAGAUAGCUGGUUCUCCCCGAAAUAGCUUUAGGGCUAGCCUGAGGUAGUAAGUAUAGGCGGUAGAGCACUGAUCGGGCUAGGGGCCGUAAAGGUUACCGAACCCUGUCAAACUCCGAAUGGAUAUACUGUAGAGCCUUGGAGUCAGACUACGAGUGAUAAGAUCCGUGGUCAAAAGGGAAACAGCCCAGACCACCAGCUAAGGUCCCCAAUGUCGUACUAAGUGGAAAAGGAUGUGGGGUUUCAUAAACAACCAGGAUGUUGGCUCAGAAGCAGCCACCAUUUAAAGAGUGCGUAAUAGCUCACUGGUCGAGAGACCCUGCGCCGAAGAUUCCCGGGGCUAAAGUACGAAACCGAAGCUGUGGCUGUAUACGUAAAGUAUACGGGGUAGGGGAGCGUUCCCAUAGGGUAGAAGUCGAACUGGAAGGUUCGGUGGACUUGUGGGAAGUGAGAAUGUUGGUAUGAGUAGCGAAAAGAAAGGUGAGAAUCCUUUCCACCGAAAGCAUAAGGAUUCCUGAGCAACGAUCGUCGUCUCAGGGUAAGUCGGGACCUAAUCCGAGGCAGAGAGCGUAGGAGAUGGACAACUGGUUGAUAUUCCAGUACCGGUAGUAAUUGUUUGAGCAAUGGAGUGACACAGAAGGGCAGGCAAGCAUGCGAAUGGAAGAGCAUGUGUAAGCGUGUAGGGUGGUGCAUAGGCAAAUCCGUGCACUGAAAGCCUGAGGCGUGAUGCGGAGUGAGCAGAGAUGCGAGCGAAGUUGUUGACCCCACACUGUCGAGAAAAGCUUCUAGUGAGAGAGCUACCGCCCGUACCGUAAACCGACACAGGUAUGCGGGGAGAGAAUCCUAAGGUGCGCGGGAGAACCCUCGUUAAGGAACUCGGCAAAAUGUACCCGUAACUUCGGGAUAAGGGUAGCCACUGUUGUGAAGUCCCAUGCGGAUGGAGCAUAGAGUGGUCGCAGAGAAGAGGCCCAAGCGACUGUUUACCAUAAACACAGGUGCCUGCUAAAGCGAAAGCUGACGUAUAGGUGCUGACACCUGCCCAGUGCCGGAAGGUUAAGGAAGGAUGUUCGGAUUAGUCCAAAGCAUUCGACUGAAGCCCCGGUGAACGGCGGCCGUAACUAUAACGGUCCUAAGGUAGCGAAAUUCCUUGUCGGGUAAGUUCCGACCCGCACGAAAGGUGUAACGAUUUGGGCACUGUCUCAACGAGGGACCCGGUGAAAUUGAAAUACCUGUGAAGAUGCAGGUUACCCGCGACUGGACAGAAAGACCCCAUGGAGCUUUACUGUAACCUGACAUUGGGUUUUGAUACAUUACGUACAGGAUAGGUGGGAGGCUUGGAAAGUUGGACGCUAGUCUGACUGGAGCCGACGUUGGGAUACCACCCUUGAUGUAUUGAAAUUCUAACCGCGAGAGUAACGAAAUCCGGGACAGUGUCAGGCGGGCAGUUUGACUGGGGCGGUCGCCUCCGAAAGAGUAACGGAGGCGCCCAAAGGUUCCCUCAGCGCGGCCGGAAAUCGCGCGAAGAGUGUAAAGGCAGAAGGGAGCUUGACUGCGAGUCAAACACGACGAGCAGGUACGAAAGUAGGGCUUAGUGAUCC